GACGAACGCUGGCGGCGUGCUUAACACAUGCAAGUCGAACGGUAAGGCCUUUCGGGGUACACGAGUGGCGAACGGGUGAGUAACACGUGGGUGAUCUGCCCUGCACUUCGGGAUAAGCCCGGGAAACUGGGUCUAAUACCGGAUAGGACUGCGCGGUGCAUGCCGUGUGGUGGAAAGAUUUAUCGGUGCAGGAUGGGCCCGCGGCCUAUCAGCUUGUUGGUGGGGUAAUGGCCUACCAAGGCGACGACAGGUAGCCGGCCUGAGAGGGCGACCGGCCACACUGGGACUGAGACACGGCCCAGACUCCUACGGGAGGCAGCAGUGGGGAAUAUUGCACAAUGGGCGCAAGCCUGAUGCAGCGACGCCGCGUGAGGGAUGACGGCCUUCGGGUUGUAAACCUCUUUCAGCAGGGACGAAGCGUGAGUGACGGUACCUGCAGAAGAAGCACCGGCCAACUACGUG
rnacentral:rRNA from 1 species